AUGAGUGAAGCAACAGGUUUUUGUAUGUUUAAAGGAAGCUUUCCAGGAACUCUGACCAGAAUGUAUAACAAGCCAUGGAAGGGAGACAAGCUUCCAAUCAAUGACGAAGCAAGAAAAAAUAGGCAGCAGAAACACACAUUUGCUUCAAUGAAAUAGAUCUUGUGAAAACUUCCAUCUUAUAAUGUGGUCAGUGCUCACUAUAGCACCACUCUAUCAUUCUAGGCCAUAUACAUGUCAAUGGAAGUUCAGUUCUUUUAGAUAUUUCUCAUCAGUGUGCCUUCCUUGGGUGGCAUAUAUAGCCUACAUAUAAAGUAGGUAAUUAUACAGAAUUCGUUGGUCCAUGUGUAUUAACAUGUCAGAUUUUGCAACUUUCACUGCAGGUCCAGUUUCCAACACCAAGGGCACAACUACAGAAAUAACAACCCAAGCAACUGUGAUGGGGUCCAGGGACAGAGAAGAGCCUGAAAUAGCCAUUUCCUGAAAAAGGACAGUAAAACAAACGUGCUCAGCGAAUAACUG